GAUGAACGCUGGCGGCGUGCCUAAUACAUGCAAGUCGAACGAAGAUCUAGCUUGCUAGAUCUUAGUGGCGAACGGGUGAGUAAUACAUAAAUAAUCUGCCCAUAUGACUGGGAUAACUAUUGGAAACGAUAGCUAAUACCGGAUAGGUUGAUCGGAGGCAUCUCUGAUGAAUUAAAGUAGGAUUUCUACACAAAUGGAUGAGUUUAUGGCGCAUUAGUUAGUUGGUGGGGUAACGGCCUACCAAGACGAUGAUGCGUAGCCGACCUGAGAGGGUGACCGACCACACGUGGACUGAGACACGGCCCAGACUCCUACGGGAGGCAGCGGUAGGGAAUUUUCGGCAAUGGGCGCAAGCCUGACCGAGCAACGCCGCGUGAGUGAUUAAGGCCUUCGGGUUGUAAAGCUCUGUUGUAAGGGAAGAACAUUCAGGAUAGGAAAUGAUCUUGAACUGACGGUACCUUACCAGAAAGCCACGGCUAACUACGUGCCAGCCGCCGCGGUAA
rnacentral:rRNA from 1 species